UGCUGCAUGUCAUCCCUACAUUUCCUGUCUCUCUUUAGCUGUUCCAAAACAAUUGCUCGACAUACUAUAAAUUCAGGAAAUCAGUUCUGAAGAAGCCAGAUCAAUACAGGUGAAGGAAAUCCUGUGUGGAGGCUUUAACAUAAUCACUACCACCUGUUCACAAACCCAUGUUCACCAGCUAUUAAGGAUGUACCCUGCCUGUUGUCCAAUGUGAGCUGGGAUUCAGACCGCUGCAACCCUGAAGGAUAAGUGGGUAAAGAUAUCGGAAGAAUGGAUGGACGGGAUAGACUCCAGCUGAAACUAAUCAAAGGUGGACAAGUAAGGACCACUGAACACGCCUGAACUUGUCGGUUCGAGCCACUGGUUGUAGGACAAGAAGGAGAGAUUUUGCUGAAAACAACUGCCUGCUGCUGCUGCAAACAUUGAGGAUGUGGUCAAUAUGUGGUGAAUAAAGUUUAUUAGAAUUGUCAAUGGACAAAAUCAA